rnacentral:rRNA from 1 species
AGAGUUUGAUCCUGGCUCAGGAUGAACGCUAGCGGCAGGCUUAACACAUGCAAGUCGAGGGGCAUCGGGAGGGAAGCUUGCUUUCCUUGCCGGCGACCGGCGCACGGGUGAGUAACACGUAUGCAACCUGCCCUCUUCAGGGGGACAACCUUCCGAAAGGGAGGCUAAUCCCGCGUAUAUCGGUUUCGGGCAUCCGAGAUCGAGGAAAGAUUCAUCGGAAGAGGAUGGGCAUGCGGCGCAUUAGCUUGACGGCGGGGUAACGGCCCACCGUGGCGACGAUGCGUAGGGGUUCUGAGAGGAAGGUCCCCCACACUGGUACUGAGACACGGACCAGACUCCUACGGGAGGCAGCAGUGAGGAAUAUUGGCCAAUGGGAGAGAUCCUGAACCAGCCAAGCCGCGUGAGGGAAGACGGCCCUAUGGGUUGUAAACCUCUUUUGUCGGAGAACAAAACCCGGGACGUGUCCCGGACUGCGUGUAUCCGAAGAAAAAGCAUCGGCUAACUCCGUG